AAACAAAUGGAAUUGCAACAGUAAUGUAAGCAGGAAAGUACUAGAAAGGGCAAAUAAAACUACAGACUUGCAUAGUGAAAUGUUUGCUUUUACAAAUCUUAUAGAAUAAUUUGUAUAGAUUAUGCAUUUAAUAUAGGCUUCAUGAAGAUGGGUAGAAAAAGAAGGUACUUCAACCACUUUGCAUAACAAGAUCACAAGCAGGAAAAAAUGAGGAGACAUUACAAAGUUUGUGGUGGAGAACAUGUGUAGCUUCAGCAGCACCAUGCAUGUCCACAAGCAAUAUGUGCCUAAUAGAUAUUAGCUCAUCUCAAUAUACUUUCUUAAGUUUCUAAUAUUUGACAAUAAAAAG
rnacentral:lncRNA from 1 species